GUCGAACGAACUCUGGUAUUGAUUGGUGCUUGCAUCAUGAUUUACAUUUGAGUGAGUGGCGAACUGGUGAGUAACACGUGGGAAACCUGCCCAGAAGCGGGGGAUAACACCUGGAAACAGAUGCUAAUACCGCAUAACAACUUGGACCGCAUGGUCCGAGUUUGAAAGAUGGCUUCGGCUAUCACUUUUGGAUGGUCCCGCGGCGUAUUAGCUAGAUGGUGGGGUAACGGCUCACCAUGGCAAUGAUACGUAGCCGACCUGAGAGGGUAAUCGGCCACAUUGGGACUGAGACACGGCCCAAACUCCUACGGGAGGCAGCAGUAGGGAAUCUUCCACAAUGGACGAAAGUCUGAUGGAGCAACGCCGCGUGAGUGAAGAAGGGUUUCGGCUCGUAAAACUCUGUUGUUAAAGAAGAACAUAUCUGAGAGUAACUGUUCAGGUAUUGACGGUAUUUAACCAGAAAGCCACGGCUAACUACGUGCCAGCAGCCGCGGUAAUACGUAGGUGGCAAGCGUUGUCCGGAUUUAUUGGGCGUAAAGCGAGCGCAGGCGGUUUUUUAAGUCUGAUGUGAAAGCCUUCGGCUCAACCGAAGAAGUGCAUCGGAAACUGGGAAACUUGAGUGCAGAAGAGGACAGUGGAACUCCAUGUGUAGCGGUGAAAUGCGUAGAUAUAUGGAAGAACACCAGUGGCGAAGGCGGCUGUCUGGUCUGUAACUGACGCUGAGGCUCGAAAGUAUGGGUAGCAAACAGGAUUAGAUACCCUGGUAGUCCAUACCGUAAACGAUGAAUGCUAAGUGUUGGAGGGUUUCCGCCCUUCAGUGCUGCAGCUAACGCAUUAAGCAUUCCGCCUGGGGAGUACGGCCGCAAGGCUGAAACUCAAAGGAAUUGACGGGGGCCCGCACAAGCGGUGGAGCAUGUGGUUUAAUUCGAAGCUACGCGAAGAACCUUACCAGGUCUUGACAUACUAUGCAAAUCUAAGAGAUUAGACGUUCCCUUCGGGGACAUGGAUACAGGUGGUGCAUGGUUGUCGUCAGCUCGUGUCGUGAGAUGUUGGGUUAAGUCCCGCAACGAGCGCAACCCUUAUUAUCAGUUGCCAGCAUUAAGUUGGGCACUCUGGUGAGACUGCCGGUGACAAACCGGAGGAAGGUGGGGAUGACGUCAAAUCAUCAUGCCCCUUAUGACCUGGGCUACACACGUGCUACAAUGGAUGGUACAACGAGUUGCGAACUCGCGAGAGUAAGCUAAUCUCUUAAAGCCAUUCUCAGUUCGGAUUGUAGGCUGCAACUCGCCUACAUGAAGUCGGAAUCGCUAGUAAUCGCGGAUCAGCAUGCCGCGGUGAAUACGUUCCCGGGCCUUGUACACACCGCCCGUCACACCAUGAGAGUUUGUAACACCCAAAGUCGGUGGGGUAACCUUUUAG
rnacentral:rRNA from 1 species